AAUGAACGCUGGCGGCAGGCCUAACACAUGCAAGUCGAACGAGUGGCGGACGGGUGAGUAAUGUCUGGGACCCUGCCUGAUGGCGGGGGUUAACUCAUGGAAACGGAAGCUAAUACCGCAUAGCAUUCUAUGUUCCCAGAUGGGAUUAGCUUGUUGGUGGGGGAACGGCUUACCAAGUCGACGAUCCAUAGCUGGUCUGAGAGGAUGACCAGCCACACUGGAACUGAGACACGGUCCAGACUCCUACGUGAGGCAGCAGUGGGGAAUAUUGCACAAUGGGCGCAAGCCUGAUGCAGCCAUGCCGCGUGUAUGAUGAAGGCCUUCGGGUUGUAAAGUACUUUCAGCGGGGAAGCGUUACCCGCAGAAGAAGCACCGGCUAACUCCGUGCCAGCAGCCGCGGUAAUUC
rnacentral:rRNA from 1 species